rnacentral:ncRNA from 1 species
UAACAGGCGUUGAUUAAAACACAGUAGUUAUUAAAGUCGAUGUUUCAGAAAGCUAGUGGGUGCUGCGAACUAGUACAUUCUUUAAAACGAAUUACAUUUUAGGAGCCUAUGGCAUGAAUAUGCCACGUGACAGCGUUAAAUGUUUGAGUGAUAUGCUUCAAUAAGCAUAUAAAUUGGGUGGUACCGCGAUAUUUCGUCCCUUGG